rnacentral:rRNA from 1 species
GGUCCAGGCCAACAUCGGUUCGGGUGGCUGGUCAAAGGCCCCGGGAAUGUACCUCACCUUCGGGUUAGGCUUAUAGCCCGGGGUGUCAUGCGGCCUACCUGGACCGAGGAACGCGCUUCGGCUCGGAUGUUGGCGUAAUGGUUGUCAGCGACCCUACUUGAAACACGGACCAAGGAGUCGAAGAGCUAUGCGAGUGUUUGGGUGUCAAACCCGUACGCGUAAUGAAAGUGAACGGAGGUAGGAAGCUUCGGCUGCACUAUCGACCGAUCCUGAUGUUCUCGGAUGGAUUUGAGUAAGAGCAUAACUCUCCGGACCCGAAAGAUGGUGAACUAUGCCUGAAUAGGGUGAAGCCAGAGGAAACUCUGGUGGAGGCUCGCAGCGGUUCUGACGUGCAAAUCGAUCGUCAAAUUUGGGUAUAGGGGCGAAAGACUAAUCGAACCAUUGAAGAAAUAGCUACUCAGGUGGUUAAUUGCGGCCUGAAAGGGCGUGGGCAAGUCCCCGGUCAAGGGGCAACAUCGUCAAAGUGCGGGGACCUCCUAAAGCCUCUACCACCAAACGGCGCCCCGAAAGGGAGCCCGUGGCCACGUUAACAGCGUCGGGUAUGGUAACAGCGUAGAGUGAUGCAACAAUGGAUGAUCCGCAGCCAAGUCCUAAGGGCUCCCAAAGCCUACGGAUGCCGUUCAUCGACUGGAUGGCGGUGGGCUCCGGGCACUUCGGUGCCUGGAGUCUAAGAUACAGUCAGUCCCCCGGGGAGACCCGGGCGUACAUCGCUAAACCCGCGGCGGUAGUGACCCCCUCUACGAGGGUCGCCGCGGGCCCGAACGGUGCGGGUGUCUACGGGCACCGGAGCAAACGCUGGUAGCUGGUUCCUGCCGAAGUUUCCCUCAGGAUAGCAGUAACGUUUUCAGUUUUAUGAGGUAAAGCGAAUGAUUAGAGGCCUUGGGGUUGAAACAACCUUAACCUAUUCUCAAACUUUAAAUAUGUAAGAAGUCCUUGUUACUUAGUUGAACGUGGACAUUUGAAUGUAUCGUUACUAGUGGGCCAUUUUUGGU